rnacentral:lncRNA from 1 species
CGCAUACAUGUGUCGGAAACAAAAGUGGCACCGACAGUUCUCUCAAAGGAGCCGUGUUCUGCGCAGACACCCGCAGCCCCUGUCCAACAUACAGCCAGGGAACGUUGAAACAUUUUGCGAUAGCUUGAAUUCAAACCAUCGCACUCACAGCACCGCUACAUGUCUCCAGCCUCACCUGGGGAGUGAGCAAAUGCCAGACACCCUCCUACGGAGCUAUUCUCUGAACCCUCCACACAGGCCCGGCUGGGCUGCUCCGCUCCGGGCCGAGAGAGUGAUUGAUAAGCUGCCGCUGUGUGAUUGCAGCCUUUGAAGCAAGAGGCAGCAGAGACCAGACUUGGCCUGAAUUAUUUCUUGCGUGAGAUUCAAGGACUCUUAUUGGGGUCUGGAUCAGGAACCCUUUCUGGUAACAGAUGUGCCUGGGGGAGAAGGGGCCAGGAGGAAGGUGAUGCAGAGGCCACCUCCACUAACCCUCAACAGCGUACACCACCUCUGCCACUCCCACUUCACAGGCGAGAAAACCAAGGCUUAGUGCGGUGGGGCCAAGUGCUCAGCGGACACAGCUGGAGAGCGGCGGGCCAGGAUUCCGCAUAAAAAAAGCAGCCCUCUCAGAUCCUGGGAGGACAAACAGGAGAGCUCAUUCCCUAUUCUCCAGCUUCCAUCUCAAAGUCUCCAGGAACCCCCAGCAACCAAAAUAUUCUUGUAAGUGAAUAAGGAAAAGCAAAGCCAACAGGUGAUUCUCGAUGCUCCCGUAGGCCCCAGGGAGUGGAGAAGCACCACGCUCCAAGUGCCUGGACAGAGAGGGAUCUGCCAACGGGAGCUCGGUCAGAAAGAGGAGGAGGGGGAGCCAGGGCAGGGGGCAAAGAAAGAGAGUUCAGUGAGGGGGCAGCACGUGCCAAGGCCCCAAGGAGUGUCCCGGGCAUGGAAUGUUCCGGCAACCAAGAGAAGGCCGUGUGGGUUUGAGUGCAGACAAGGGGAAAGCGGCUCAGCACAGCCAGGGAAAGCCAGCCAGAGUGAGGGACAACGGCCCAGGAAUGGCUGGGGAGCUGCGGCUCUGUCUGGAAAGCAGUGGGUGGGCGUCACUGGCACCUGCUGCCAUCUAUGGAUUCACCCAAGCCAAGGAUGAAGAUGGGGAACCAGCAGGCUCAGGACACAACAUGGGCCCAUCCCUCGUUGACUCCCAUUAGCAGACAGCGACCCGUGCAUGAGCUGCUCUGGGGGACGGCAGCUUCUGGCUCAGGGGCCAGCCUGCGUGUCUCUGCCAUGGCGGGUCAUAACCUCAUCAGCCUCCUUCCUGAAACCCGAAUGCCACACGCCUGCUGAGUUUCUCAGGAUCUCACAAAUCCUACCCCAGUCCCCAACAUCCUGGCCAGCCUGACAGUUACUUCCUGGAGCAUCUUCCAGAGUUCCGUCGGGUUUGCUGACCCUGGUUGAGUGAUGGCAUUUUCUAGCUCUUUCUGUCUGUACCCCAGAAUGUAGCUUGUCUAAGCCCAGUGACUUAAGCCCAAUCUAUUCAUUUCACCACUGUCCCCUGGCAGGAGGAAUUCCUCUGAAAAGACCCCAGGAGCCUGGCGAGGGGUACGCUGGGGAGGCAGCUGGUGACAAGGCCUGGGCAGAAAGCCUGCUUUUCACUAAGAAUUCUUUGAACAUUUUGAAUUUUGUACUAUUUGCAGAUACUGCCUAUUCAAAAAUAAGUAAUUAAUUGAAACAAUGAGAUCAUUCUCUUUGAUACAAAAAGGCAAAACCCUAACCGGAGUCCUGUCGUUCUGCUGUUAUCUCAUCCCGGGCUGGAAUCUGGUCACCCCAAACUCCCCACGCCCCAGCCUCAGCGUCUCCAUCUGUAAACCAAGGCCCAGGCCCUCGGACCUUGGUGGGGGGGCUCCACUUUGUGAGUCUGACUUGUCAUAGCCUGAAGCUGUGGCCUGGGCCCCUGUCUCCGUCCCACUCGCAGGCUGGUUAAAUCCCGGGAGUCAAAACCUCCAGGAGCAGGUUCCGUGGUCUGAGAGUCCAGGACAGCUUGUCACUCAGCAAGACAGCCUGGCGGCGGUGGGGGGGGGGGGGGCGCCAACCAGGGCGACCGAGGACACCAAGGUGGGGCCUGUGGGUGAGGUGCCCCCAGGAGUCUCAGUGGAAGCUCCAGGAAGGUCACAAGAGAUCCCUCCUCCCAGGUGGCCCCUAAAGAGGCCAGCACACAGUCCAUGGAGGAAGAGGCACAGAAUCAAUGAAUCUGGCUUUCAAGGAGCGAAUAAACUUAGGCUUGUUGGUGUCUCAAAGGCAUCUGGUACCUGAAUUGUUCUUGGGGUUCCUACUGGAGGCGCCAGCCCUUAGAGACUGAGCAGCCAGGGACAACACUCCCGGGCGGCUGGCAGUGCCACCCGUUUCCUGCCAACCCAGGACCCGUGGAGACCAGGAUCAGCCUCUAGCAUCCCUGGGGCAGCAGGAGAGACCCUUGUCCCUCCUCCACCCACACACUGGGGAUCCCCAUGCCUCCCUCAUAGCUUGUGAGGAGCCAGGGGUCCGGGGUCAAAGUCAGAUGCCACGAGCUGGAGAGGAAGCGUCGGCAGACGUCCCCUGGGUGGGGUCCUGGGGUCUGCAGGUCACGUGGAGAAGGCACAGCAAGAACAAGACCUAGGCCAGACGGCAGCGUCAGCGCACGCUCCACAGCGGGCUUCCCGCAGCUCUGCACAGCACGGCGAAUUUCCACCUAAGUGUGUCCACGGAGCCUCCACCAGAUCAAAGCUGGAGACAGCCCCAGCUUCCCAGACAGCCUGACGACCCUCAAAACUGCAUUUAAAAACCACUGUUUCGGUGAGUGGGUGAAUCAUUCACAUGGUUCAAAAUUCAAAAGGAACAGAAUGAUGUCGCCUGGAAAUGCGUGUCCUGCCCCAUCCCAGGGACUCAGGGUCCUGCACCUGAAACGGCCUUUGCAGAAGUCCUGUCAGUGAGACAAUUAGAACACCAACCUAAGCUAACCCAGCCCCCAUCCUGCCCUUCCCUUAAUUAUUCCUGGGCUAUUGGGCCAAGCUAACUUUGGAAGACAUUUAGGCUACAGUUUAAAUGAUUGAUAAUAGGCCUUGCCCCAAACCUGCUUUUGUAAAGCUAAUGGGAGGCCCCCAGGCUUCCAGGAGGAGGGAACCAGAGACCUUAUAAGGCGCAGACACAAAGGAUGGUCGGCCAUUAUCCCGGAGGUUACAAAUAUGCAACUUCCCCCAUUACUCCUGCAAGUAACACCACCGCUGUAGAUGGAAGUAUCUUCUGAGAGAUCUUUCCAGGUUUUUUGCAUGUCUGACGCCCACAGCUCCACUCAGACCCCAUGGCUCCACCUGGACCUACAGCCCCGCUCCUGUGGCCCCACCAGAAGCAAUUCGGCUGCAGGAGGAAGGCUUCCACCCCUGUGAUUUCAUCUCCACCCCAACCAAUCAGCAGCAAACAUCUGUUACCUGGCCACCCCUACCUAAACCCCUAAUCUAAUCCGGUUGCGGUGACUCACGCCUGUAAUCUCAGCACUUUGGGAGGCCGAGGCGGGCGGAUCACAAGGUCAAGAGAUCAAGACUAUCCUGGUCAACAAGCGUGGAACUCAGCCAGUCCCGGAAAGCCCUCCCGUGUGUUCUGGAAACAGCUCACUGCAAACAGCCCCCUUCGCACAGGACUGAGAUGAGACUCGCGGCUGCCGGGUCCGCCUAGGAGAAGGCCAGAUCACGGCCUCAUCAGCGAUUCCCUGAGCUGUUUUGUUCCCACAGAAGCAGCAGAACAAAAUGCUUGUUUAAAAAAACAACAAAAAAAGCUUGUUCAGCUUCUCUGCCUCCCCCAAACCCUGAACUGGGAGACCCCCCCCAGCCUAGUUCCCCCUGGGUCAGCCUGUAACCCCACCUUAGCCCCUGAGACUGGGCUGGCCAGGGGGAACCUGCUGUAUCUGCUGCCCCUCAGGCCCCCUCACGCCACUCCCCCACCGAUUCUUUCCAGCCCUGCUCCCUCUCUCCGUCAAAGAAAACCCCUUUCCCUGGCUCUGGAGGCCUUGUAGGCCUUGUAAGUUGGAGUGGUACGUACCCCUACUGUGAGGCGCUCCCCCAAGCCCUGCAAUAAUCCUUUUGGAAUAAAGUUCCCCUUACUAAAUCCGGAUUUGUUUUUUAUUUGACAAUUUCUUCUCUGUGGAAUUCUCGGCUCAACUCAAGGGACGGAGCCGAGCUUAGAAAUAAAACAGGAGCAGCGUCAACAGAAGAUGUCAGGAGUGGGGGCCUCGUUUCUGCGUGGUGAAUUCUGAGACCAGAGCACACCGUCCCAAGAGGGCAGUGGACGCUGGGGAAAGUGUCACGGCCGCUGAAGGAGAG